rnacentral:rRNA from 1 species
GUGGGGAAUAUUGGACAAUGGGCGAAAGCCUGAUCCAGCCAUGCUGCGUGUGUGAAGAAGGUCUUCGGAUUGUAAAGCACUUUAAGUUGGGAGGAAGGGCAGUAAGUUAAUACCUUGCUGUUUUGACGUUACCGACAGAAUAAGCACCGGCUAACUUCGUGCCAGCAGCCGCGGUAAUACGAAGGGUGCAAGCGUUAAUCGGAAUUACUGGGCGUAAAGCGCGCGUAGGUGGUUUUGUAAGUUGGAGGUGAAAUCCCCGGGCUCAACCUGGGAACUGCCUCCAAAACUGCAUGACUAGAGUACGGUAGAGGGUAGUGGAAUUUCCUGUGUAGCGGUGAAAUGCGUAGAUAUAGGAAGGAACACCAGUGGCGAAGGCGACUACCUGGACUGAUACUGACACUGAGGUGCGAAAGCGUGGGGAGCGAACAGGAUUAGAAACCCGUGUAGUCC